ACAUGUUUCGUUCGUGUUCGAUUGUCCUGCCAUGCUGCUCGAGCCCCCCUUUGUGCCCUGUAAUUUUCUGGACUGACGAAUCGACUUCUGACUUUAACAUCGGUAAUUUGUGAAAGUAAUCGCCUACAACGCCGAUGACGCGUGAUGUCUGCCAGCCUCGUCGUUCACCGAAAACUGGCUGAUAACAGGAAGUCAUCGCCUUUUUACGCAAUAUUUUCCCAACGAAUUCCUGAUGAUCCGUCGGAAGCAAUACGCCGUCGGCCACCCAGCACCACAUCCGGCGGUUAAAUAGGAAUCCAACAGCGCGACGGACAGAGCGUGUCUCUUGAAAAAAACAGGGCCUGUCGUGUCCGUCGAGGUGUUGAAAAAAAAAGCAGUUGGUUGAUUGUGCACACACACACCAUCCUAUAAAAAAAAAAAAAAUCCAUAACACCAAAAAGUCGACCAUUAACGAUGAGCCGAAUAGGAAAGAAGCAUAUAUUUGAUGUAUAAGGUACUCUCUUAUACUACAACUAUUAAGGGCGGGAAGAAAACCACAGCGAUACAAAAAAUACGGACGCGUGAUGAUGUUUUCGUUGAUGAUGCAUCGUUUUCUUCUGCUUUAGCUGCCGAUGUCUGGCCAGCGGGUGCACAACAGCAAACAUUGGAGCCUGAGAAAGAAUGAUCCUUUUGUCGUUACACACACGCAUAUAUAGAAGCAAACCAUCAGAUGGCCGGGCGUCGCUUCGGAUGAUGAAAUUUAAGUUUUUCUUCCCAUCUUUUUCCCCCCUUCACAUUUGCUGACCCCCCUAUAGUACCCGAUUUUUGUUAGACCAACCCCAUCGUCUUCAAUCUUCUUACGACCUGUUUUGGCACAUUGGCCUUUCUUCGCUAUUCUAACCGACUUGUUUUUUUUUUUUAUAGGCCACCCACUUCCCUUUGCUCUUUUCAUAGUUUCCAUUAUCGUGAAUCACACGUCGUCACCUAUUCGCUGCAGGCGAUGACGUACACAGCCAAGAAAAGAUAUUCUCUCCACCUUUUUUUUUUAAAUACUUUGAUGGCAUCAAUGGUGGAACUCUCUUCCUCAAGACUUUGUGCUAACCCCUCUGUGCCAACGCGUGGAACAAAUGCACUGUCACGGCCGAAUUGAUGGUCUCUCUCUGUGUGUUCGGGAAAAGAAAAGAG